rnacentral:lncRNA from 1 species
CGGAGGUCUGUCCUAGCCACUUUUAAGGCUUCUGCAUGUUGUUAUCUGUUUCAGCAAUUCUCUAACUUCAAACUCAAAGAAUCCACAGAGAAAAGUGACAGUGAUAAAGGACAAGAGAUGAUUUCUCAAGUGAUGGACAAUGUAAAGCCUUGGUCUUAAGAGAUAGGCUAUUGGGCAGUUGCUGGUCCUUUAAAAAAAAAAAAAAUCACAGAAUUACACAGAAUUUCAGGGGUUGGAAGGGACAUUUGGGUAUCAUUGAGUCCAACUCCUGGAUAAAGCAGGUUCCCUACAGUAGGUUGCACAGGAAAGAAGAAGAAAAAUAAGAAGAUGAAGAAAAAGAAAGGAAAUUGAAAUGUAAGUGGCUUUAAAAAACAUUUAUUUUAACUGUAGUGAAGGUGGUAAAUGAUUACUGGAAAGCAGCGUCCCUGCGUGCUGUGGGGAUCAGCAUUACAAUGCCUGGCUCCUGAACAACCUAACCUGUGCCUUGGACUCGAUUGACUGCAUAUCAGAGGGAACAGAGCUCUCCCUGAGACCCUUCUUGCAGAGGCAUUUAUUGACAAACGCUUUCUCGCAAGUGGAUUCUCUGCUGUCUGAAAAGGGGCCUGUUUGUGCUGCAGCCUGCCCCUCUGUGACAGGGCUCUCUGGCAGGCUGUUUUUGUAAGGCUUGUAGGAACUGCAGUUUUCUUUGAGAGAUCAAUCGGUUGAAAUUUGUCAACAGGUUCAAAAGGUAUCAGGGGUGUGGAAGUGACUGAGAUACAAGCGCACACAGCAUGAUUGCAUCAGCCUUCUUUCUGCACAAACCAGGAUAAAAAGUUGCAGCAACAUAAAAAUAAAUAACUGAGCAGACGUAAUUCCUACAAAAUGCCAGUAGCUAGCCAAGACUUCAUUUCUGUUGAGGGUGAAAGGUAAAGUGAGAACAGCUUUGUGCUUAGGUACCUUAUCUUGUGAUAACUACUUCUUGAGAAGUGAGGAUGCUUCAGAAGAAAAGACAUUUAUUUUUCUCUUAAAAAAAAAACCAACACAGAGUAUCUUCCUAUCCUAUGAGGAAACAAUAAAAUUUCCAGAAACUGGGAGUGGAAAUAGCAUUUUUCAGUUGCUAAUCAUUCAUUUAAAUAAUGACAAUUAUACAGAUUCAUUCACAGAAUUCAAAAGCUACUGACACCAACUUUUCUCUAUUAUUUGCAGUGUUUAAAGAUGAGAGGUUACUGCCUUGUUCAGGAUCCUACUGCAAACAAAGAUACAUAGAUCUGAAAGGUACCUCCAUAUGAGGACGUAGUCUUUGUGGCCACAGUACUUCAAAAUGUCCCAGGGUGAUCGUGAGUGGAGACAGCAAGAAAAAUUUCACAUUCCAGUUACUGAAUCUGAACUACCUACAAUCUGAAUACGCAGUAUCUCAUAUGUAAUUUAGAAGAUAACUUCUAUGAAACCCCUUGCAAGAAAGAAAAAAUUAAAAAAUAAGUAAAAUAAAGGGGUUUUUUAGUAUAUUUGAAAAAGACCUAGUUAAUUUCUUAAAAAAUUGGAACUCUAGGAAUAGUAAAGAAUGCAGCGAUUUUGUAGUACUGGAGAAUAUAAUUAUUUCUUAGUUGAUUGAUGACCUAUUGUACCACAGAAACUGAGAAGUAUUUUCUUAUCAUUAACAGACCUAAGCUAAAAAUCCCACUGUCUGGCAGAGCACAACCCCUAAACCAAGGGAGUGACCUAUUGACUGAAGAGCAGCAGCAAAACUAACCAGUCUGCUAGCCCAGUUAAUUUCUCUUACACACCUCCCUUUUGCAGGAUCUAAGUACUAGAAACUUCAAAUACAAUCCCCAAAUCAAAACAUCUGCUGCUUUCCAUUUCCACUAUAAAUUUGCUUACAAACAUCCCUCCCAUGUAUUUGUGCAGUCUUUAACUCCUGUUACGUGUGCAAUAUUUCCCCUUAAAAAACACUGGAGUACAAACAAGAAUUUUUCAUCAUUUCUAGUGAUUUGGGGGUGGUAACCAUGACUUCUGCUAACUACUGUGCCCAUAGGAAUACCCUGUGGUGGGUACUGUUCAUAUUUGUCAUCCAACGGCUGGAUUAAAAUUUAAAUGGCUGCUGCGCGCUUCUUCUAUGAACUAACAUCUUUCUUCACAUUCUUAUCUCAGCACAAUUUUCUGGACAAUCCCUUUGUGGUUAGACAGUUUUUCUGACCCCCUUCACUACCCUACCUUAAUUUCUUGUUAAAAAUUUUCCCUGCUGUGAAAACCAGAAACUUUAUUCCAUCCCCCAACGAAAUCUUAACUUAGAAAGAGCAGUUGUAACAACGAUUUGACUGGGAGAAGAAAGAAAUAACGGCACCGUUGAGCUACUCAGCAGUACUCUUUCAUUUGCAGUCCUUUUGCUUAAAUGUUCAACUUUUGUCAGAGAUGGAAGCUGUUUGGAGCAGAAAUUCUGCUCUCCUUUUUGUUGAAAACUUGUAACACUAAUUCCUCAUGGAAGUUGUUCUAAAUUUAAAUGAGAAGCAAACCAUAACCUGAAAUAAUUUUGAUUAAGAGAUAGCAAUCACUCCAGACCAUUCGUAGCAGUUUUGGCUCUAAGUUACCUAGAUUCUUGUUUGAGAUAGAUCAAAAAUACUCCCAAAAUAAACUUCCCCGCAGUAUUUCUGUUAAAAUUAUAAAAAGAGCUGGAGAUGAGAAAUCUUCGAAGUCUGUGCACCAAGACAAGGGGUCAAAGUGCUCGUACAGAUUGAUAGAGAAUUCAUGUUUUAUCAGUGACAUUGCAAUUACAGAGGUUUGAUUUCUGUUUGUAGGACAAGGUCCUCUCACUGAUGGAGAACCCACCAGGCAUAGAAAGAAAGGGAUCUUUGUCUGAGCAACAGCACAUGACAGGCAUCCUCGGGACUGGCAGUGGCCCCGCUCCGCUCCUGUGAGCGCAGCCCCCCAUCAGUCCUCCCAGCUCCUUGCCAAGGGAACAAGGCACCAGCCUCUGAAAGAGUGGGCUGUGUUCACAGUCAAAAUAUAUAUAUAAAUUCAAGAAGAGAAAAUGCAGCCUCCCCGGGUGGUGCUCAGCCAGGCUGUACUCAGAACAAGCCAGUUUCUGAAUUACAGUGGGUAUCUUUCUCAGGGCUUAAGGGUUCUCAAAGGAAACGCUGGUUGUUUGUUUUUUUCCUCAGACGUUUCAAUGGGAAAGUUAAAAAUAAAUGAAACAAAGCCUUUUGGCUGCUGCUGUUUCAGCUGAUGCCUCCUUUAGCAAAACACAAACCUGAAUAUGUGCCUGAGAGCCCUUAGCAAGAGAAAAUGGGCUUCUCCAUGCAAGAUUUUACACAUGCAGUCUUCCUUCCUUAUGAGUGAGUAACGUUUUGCUUCUGCACACUUGUGUUUCCCAGGUACAAGUAAACACUUAAAAUAGCUCUUCUGCACAGCAGGAAAUAGCGUAUCAAGCCUAAGCUCUGCAAGGCCACUUGGGGAGAGUUUAUAAAUGCUUUCAGAACUGGUGCAAUAGAAUCCCAGGUGGAUGGCACCAUGCAAGGGAAUCCUCUGCCAGACCCAGGGACAGCGUUGCACCUGGAGAAGAAUGGGCAGCCAACUAGAGGAAAAGGGUCUAGGGAAAAGAAGGUAAACAGGACUGAUCCGAAGCUUAAAGGAACAGUCUUAGCCCAGUUAGGCUCUACAGGGAAUAGAUGAACAAAUAAAAAGCUGAAACAAUAGAAAUCCGGGAAAGAAAGUAAUCUCCUUGGCGUUAAAAUUGUAUUGAAUUCCUGGUUUUAUCUCAAGAGGGAGGCACAGAACAUACUGGCUAGGCACAAAACAAUGUUGGAGGAGACUGAAGGGAGUGGAGAUGAUUUCCAGGAGAAACACCAGCAGGCAGGGAGUGGAGGUAAAAGAACCCAACCACAACACAGUCUGCCCAAAGAAAUUCAACUCAGUUCUUGCAGAGAGUAGAAAUAUAGCUGUCCCUCCAAGGCAGAAUCCAAAGGAGGGUCCAGAGAGGCUGAUUGCUAUUAGGUACAGGGUUAGCAGAAAAUGCUCCUGCAUGGACGUGCUUCCCGAGGUGCUAUAGGAAGAAAGGCUGAACUCUACCUUUAUAGGUGGUCCAAAAAGAAGCAAGUAAUUAGUGGAGGAAGCAAAUGGCAGCACCGUGUUUUGAAAUUCCUCUCAUACCAAGUAGUUUCCUGUGGUUUUGGAAGAAUGGAGUGGCACAAGUGCCAUUAAUAAAAAGCACUCUGCAAUCAGAGAUCAUGUAAGGAUGAAUUCAAUAUUGUCCUUAGGCAUUUCACAGGAAGUCAGAACAAGUUUUUGAUGGUAUAAUGGAUAAGAGGAUUUACAUGCAGGAUAUUUUAAUAAAAGAUGAAACAGAAGAGCAUAGCCAAAGGCUGCUGCCCUAAUGGUCAAGGGAGGGGCACAAAGUCAAUUGUUCUGCAAAAUCUAUCACAUUGCCCAAAAUUUCAGUCUGAGAGUAUCUGAGAACACCCUGUGAGUGGAUGUCCAGGGAUGGAUAACCCACAAAAGAUGUAAACUGUAACAGAUUUCUUGAGAUUCUCAUAGUUGAUGAGAAUCUGAAGACUGGGACUGAGAUGACAAUUUGGACAGAACUAAUUCAUCCACAGACAUCCCCAGGGAUUCACCUAGAUCCUCCACAGCUUUACAUCUAAAGCUGGAAGGUGACAUCUUCUACGUUAUGCACAUUAAAAAAAAAAAAAAAAAAAAAGAAAAAGAAAAACAAAACAAAAAUGCUAGAAAUCAGCAUGGUCAAGAAGAGCCUUAGCCUAUAGAUUGUCGGUAUACAACUUGCUGCUAAUAAAAAAAUGGCCCCAGAAAAUCAUUUUCAUCCUAGUUGUACUCUCCUAUAGCUAAAGUUUAGGAACCACAAAUGGAAAAGGAGCUCAGAAAAAGAUUGGUCAUUAUUUAUAUUACUUUUUACCCUUCAAAAUACAGAGUAUCCAAAGGCACAGUCUCAGAAUAUCGUAUGAAGAGAAAAAAUAUCUGCCCAGAUAUGAUUACUCUGGAGACAAAGAUUUUCCAGGAUGCACACCCACAGAAAAGAUGAUGAUGAAUGAUCAACAAACUAACUAUUUCGCUAAGAGAAAAUCACUGUAAGAAGAGAGUCAGAGCCUUGUGGAAGACCUCAGCUGCAAAAGCUGAUGAAGCUACAGACCCACAGUACUAACUUCAGAGUAGGCACAGCUGAAAGAGGGUAGGAUCAAUUUUCUCUGGUGCUUUCUUGCAAACUUUCUUUCCUGCUCUAUCUGAUCAAAUUAUGUAUUCAUUCAACUCAGAAGUCUGGUUCAGACAAUGACCACAUGUCAAUAGAAAGGUGCAAGAACAAUGUUAAGAUAUUAUGGAUUACUUUAACAUACUUUCCUAGAUUCUUGCAAUUUUGUUAAACUAAAGUGGUUUUUGCUUCCAGUCUUCAACAGAGUACUUACUCUGCUAUGCCUCUAACUGAUUUCUGAGUGCUUAAUUGUAGCCUGU